rnacentral:rRNA from 1 species
CCUGCCCAGCAGAAAGGCCCGGGAACCGUUAACGGAGCGCGCCGGGGAACGGGCCGGGCCGAAGGUUCCGCCCGCUUCCAGAAGCAGCCCGCCGGGUGGCCCCGGCCGCCUGGGGGAAAGACCCCCACCCCCGGGGCAAGACGGGCCAAGGGAAACCAAAUAAGGAGGAAUUUUCCCCGGGUUCCCAACGCGGGGAGGGCGGGGAACGUUCCGCCAAAGGUGGAACAAAAAAGACUUUCGGCAACGGAUAUUUCGGCUCUCGCAUCGAGGAAGAACGUAGCAAAAUGCGAUACUUGGUGUGAAUUGCAGAAUCCCGGGAACCAUCGAGUCUUGAACCCAAGUUGCGCCCGAAGCCUUUCGGUCGAGGGCACGUCUCCCUGGGUGUCACACAACGUCGUCCCCAAACCCGACACCCUCUCCCACGGGGGGAGUCGGGAGGGACGGAAGCUGGUCUCCCGUGGCGAUCCGCCGCGGUUGGCCGAAUUACGAGUCCGGGCGAGGAAAGCCGCAACGACCGGAGAAGGGAACAUCCUCGAUCGAUGCUCGUUGCGGCCGUUUUCGCGAGGGGACGGGCUCCAGACCCACGGCGAUUCCGGCGCCUUCGAUCGCGACCCCAGGUCAGGCGGGAUAACCCAAA